rnacentral:lncRNA from 1 species
CUCCAGUGCUAGUGAUAGUGACGCUGGGCGUUGUGUGCUAUACUGUUCCAAUUACUAUUUUUUUUCAUUGACGCCAGUUUCCAUCUGGAUAUUAUAUUAGUGCAGGCACCUUUAGGUCAAUGCAAGUUUUCUUUUUAUUUAUUCUAUAUGUUUCCUUUUUGCACAUGAGAAAUCCAUGCGCAUGCAGAAGAUAUUUUUGUUAAGGCCGUCUUCAUUCAUUAUAUUUUCGACAAGGAGAAGCAAAAAAAAAAUGACAAGUGACAAGCCACUCGAUGGCAGAUACGCUAGAUUUCAUCUUUUUUUUUUGGCAGCCUGGAUUUAUCCAUGCGACUCACGAGUUCACGACAAAAGGUCAGCGGCAGCGUCAAACAAAGUUGUCAUCAGGGUAUUUAUCUAGUUUUUUCUUUCCAGAUUUUUGUCGUUUUAGUUUUUUGGAUGUGCUGACAGUGAUUAAAGCUUGUGAAUGUGUUCAUAGCUAUAGCUAGAAAUAGUGGCGAAGCUAGAGUAAAUUAAAGGAGAGUGCAUUUAGCUUAUAGGUGUAU